GCUUCUCCUCCUGCAUUUGGAUGAGGACGUUGCGCUUAUUCACCACAUCCAGCAGCUGCUUCAGGAUCUCCUGCUCAGCCUUCUCAUCCUCAGGUACAGCAGCUGGUUUGUCCACCGUGUCUGCUGGUCAGCCAGGCUCUCUGCAGGACAGGGGAAUGGUGAGUGGGGUGCAGACCCCUAUCACAGGGUCACAGUGCUCCACCCACCCUGGCCUUACCAUUCUCAUCCCGGAGUAGCUUCUCCAGCUUGAUGCCCUGCUGCUCCAGUUCCCGGAAUGUCACCUCGAUCUCCUCCAGCCGUCUCUGGAUGGCCUGGAAGAGAAAGGCAGCACUCACCUGCAGGCCAGCACCUGCCAACAUGUGGCCACCAGCAGCAGGGGGACAGAUGGAGGGGACAGUGCCACGCUGGGGACCUGGGUCUCCCCUGUGGGUUACCUGGGCUCUGCAGAACCGCUUCACCUGGGACUCCCUGGCCCGGCGAGCCAAUGUGCGCUUCCAGGUGGGAUAUUUCUCCUCUUCUCUCGGGUCUGGGUACUGUGAAAGGACGGAGGCACAGGCCCUGCACCAGGCACCUCCUGCCUUGGCAGCCACAGCUGAGCCAGACCCGGUGCCUCUGUGAAAGGAGCAAGAGCCCCAGCUACCACGUGUGCUGGUGGGGCCACCAGCACUUGGGGAAAAUCCUCACCAACUCUUUCAUGAUGCCAAGGCCUCUGCCUUCCUCCUCCUCCUCUUUCUCCUCCUCCUCCUCCUCAUCCUCCUCCUCCUCAUCCUCCUCGCUGUCACUCUCCUCCAAAUCUGCCCAAGGAAAGAGCCAUUUCAGGCUGAUUCCUCAUGAGCAAGAUGUGGGUACAGCACGUCCUGGAAGGACUGAGAGCUCUGCUUGUCUGGACACUCCAGUUUGUACCACCUACCUUUCUCCAUGUCAAUUUUCCCCUCCUUCUGCUUCCAGGCGCCUUGUCCCUGCCCCAGGGCAGGGAGGGCCUCAGGUGCUGCCUGGGGCCGCAGACGAGCUGGCUUCAGUGGAGGCUCAGGCUCUGCUUCACUGGUGAGGUUCAGCGUGGACAGACUGAGCUUCUCCAGUGGUGUAAGGAUGAUCUUCCUCCUGCCCCCACUCUCCUCGCCCUCCUCUGCUGUCCCUUGGGGCUCUGCUCUGGGAACCUCCUCUUCCCUCACAUCCCUCCCAGGCUGUGCCAGCAGCUCCUGCUCCUCCAUGUCACCAGCAUCUGCAGUGUCCUCAACUUCCCCAGGCUCUUCCCCUGGCUGUGGGGCUGCUGGAGUGGGCUGAGGUGGACUGGGUGCCCGCUCCAUGGGAGACACACGUGGGCUUCCAGCUUCUGAGGGUGGGUGGGCAGCAGCAUCAGCAUCCUACAGCAGAGCCACAGCAGAGGAGUGAUGCACCACAGGGCCACGCCCAAGCACCCCCUCCACACUUUGCCUUUCCACCAUCACCUACAGGGACUUAGGAUGAUUUACCCCAUCAGGCAGUGCUGAAGCCUCAUCCUGGGGCAGGUCCACGCUGGGUGGAUUGGGGUAGUGCAGCGAGCAGUAAAAAUGACCUGGGGGGAGGGGGGGCGAACUCAUGCGACAACCUGCAAGGUGGAGAAGUCAUGCCCCGAGCAUUCCCGCUCCCCAAAAGCCACCUCACCUUCCUCCUCGUCGAAGGCGUAGUCGCCCAGGCGCAGGGUGGCCCCGCAGCGCCGGCACUGGAAGCAGCCGCGGUGGAAGAAGCGUCCCUCGGCGCUGGCUCGCUCCAGGAUGUAGACACGGCAGCCACAGAAGUAGCAGGCGUCACUGUUCUCCCCUGUCCUCUCCCUCACCGGCUGCAGGGAGAGAGGACAGGCUGGGGUGGCACCGGGGGCCUGGCACCCACCCUGCCCCGUGGCUGUGCAGGCAGCCAUGGGGGCACGGGGCAGGGCUCUGCUCCUCUUGCAGCGCCAGGUCUGGGUGCUCGGGAUGGGUGAGGGAGUGGCAAGACUUGGCUCCGGAAAACCAGUUGGGUCAGGAAACAGGCAGGGAGGAGCUGAGAGCCUGUAGGCGUCUGCUUGCGCUGCCCUGGUCCCAGCCCUUGGCUUGGCCCUGCCAGCCACUGGUGCCCCUCCAGUGCCCACCAGCCCUGAGCAGGACCCUCCAUCCCAAGGUGACACAAGGACCAACCUGCCCUGGGUCCAUCACAGUGGUUUGCGGCAGCUCAUGGGCACUGUCCGGAGUGUCUCCAUCCAGCCCCGUGUCCAGCUACAAGUGACCCAAGGGGAGGGUCAGCCCCCCACUCUCCCCCCAGGACUGCUGCACCCCAGCAGAACACCCCUUGGGGUGCCUGGGGCAGACCCACCUCGGUGUCCCUGCGGCUCCUCUUGGCCUCAGUGUCCUUCUGGGCACUGUCCUGCAAAUGCAAAUGGGGUGGUUUGGGUGGGGAAGGGGACAGGGCUUUGAUGUGUCACGAGGGUCUGGGUGGGGGUCCCUCACCUGGGCACGUUUGUGUGUCAGGUUCCGGCUCUUCUGCAGCUUGCUGAGGAAGAGGAUGGCCCCUCGCGUGCCACAGGGAGACAGUGGCUUCUUGCUGACCUCCACCUCUGCACAGGACAUGGCCAUUUUGGUGGGACCCACCCAACAAAGAGAGCACCCAGCCAGCCCCAGUGGGCCUCAGGACGGGACAAAUCCCCCCAAAAUCUCACACCUGAAGAGGUCCUGAAAACUUCAUAGAACUGGCUGAGGUAGGUGAUGAGGCCCAGGCGGUCAGGCUCUGCCAUGGUGGCCAUCUCAGCACUGGAGAGCACAGGCUGGAUGCCCAGCUCCUGCUCUGCUAUGUCCAGCAUCAUCUGGUGGGUCUGAAUGGCAUCCUGCGGGUCCACUGAGUCCAAGUCCCUGAGGGGAGACACAGCUGCCAUCAGGGUGGGCUCUGCAGAGUGGAGGGUUCCGGGGGGGUCCCAGGCACUCACACCAGGUCCGGGCGGAAGUGGUGGAUGAGGGCGCAGAGGGCCAAGCCACUGGUCCAGGAGGUGGUGAAGUUGCUCACGGCCACGCCAGGGUAUCCAGCCGUGCUGGCCUGGCACCAGCUCAGCAGCUCUUCGUAGACGUCUCCAGGGGCUGCUGGGGAGGCAGCCUGUGUGUCCCCAUUCCACAGAGACAGGGGACAACCCCCCCAGCCCACCUCCUGCCUCAGCAUCAGUGCUUUAACAGGAAAGGGAUCCCAUGGGAAUGACCUGAGACACCUCCUCUCCCCCCUGCAACCAUCCCCGCAAGUCUCAAUAAAUGGGUUGAUAAAGCA